rnacentral:rRNA from 1 species
UACGAAGGGGGCUACCGUUGUUCGGAAUUACUGGGCGUAAAGCGCACGUAGGCGGGUUGUUAAGUCAGGGGUGAAAUCCUGGAGCUCAACUCCAGAACUGCCUUUGAUACUGGCAACCUAGAGACUGGAAGAGGUUAGUGGAAUUCCCAGUGUAGAGGUGAAAUUCGUAGAUAUUGGGAAGAACACCAGUGGCGAAGGCGGCUAACUGGUCCAGCACUGACGCUGAGGUGCGAAAGCGUGGGGAGCAAACAGG